rnacentral:RNase_P_RNA from 1 species
CAAGUAAGCUGGACAGCCGCGUGAGCAGGCCGAAAGGCCGCGCAUGAGGAAAGUCCGGGCUCCACAGGGCAAGGAUAACGGGUAACGCCCGCCGGAGGCAACUCCAGGAAAAGUGCAACAGAGAGAUACCGCCUUGCCCCUCACGGGGGACGAGGUAAGGGUGGAAAGGCGAGGUAAGAGCUCACCCGAUGGCUGGAAACUGCCCAUCGCUGUAAACUCUAUCCGGAGCAACACCGUGGAGGGACACAAAGGCCGGCCCGGCCGUCCCGAGGAGGUGGCUGGAACACGCCGGCGACGGCGCGUCUAGAUAGAUGGCUGUCUUCAAUGACAGAACCCGGCUUACAGGUUUGCUUGCAAA